AGGUCUGUUCCUUUGUUUUUUAGUGUUACACUUUUGAGUGUAAGUGUACGAAAUUCUAUGGACAUUUGAGUGUAAAAUGACAGCGGAUGUGACAGCGGCUCAUGACAGCGGACAGUAUUAAACGAAAAUUAUCGGUGUGCCAAUCAAGCAAAGGGACAAGGAACUUCCGAAUAUGGCCUAACUGGGGGCACAUAACAUAACAUAACCUAAUCCUAAUAUUUACAUUUGUAAAGAAUAUCCUGUUUGUUUUUAUUGUCGAUUGUGCAGCGAAAUUGUGUGCAGCAAAUCAAAUAUAAAGUAGUUUAUCGCCUACAGAACUGAAUUAGUCCAUAGCAGUUAUCAGUUUUUCUUUCUUGGGAAGCUUAUACAUGUAACUUGUAUUGUUGUAAAUUGUGGGAGUAGGGCAGACAGGGAAAAGUCUUAUUUUGUACUGUUCCCAAGGCUCCCCAUGCAAUACAUUUAAAUGAAUUAUCCAAACAAAGCCGGGGACAAUGGAUAAAAGCCACAAGAAGAACAGAUAUAAGGGGACUAAAAUUAAAAUAUGAAAAGUAAACAUUUUAUAAGUGGAACAACCACCAGAUAUUUAAAAGGUAUAAAAAGAAGAAACUGCUGGAAUUUCAAAACAAAUGUGUUUGACUAGUAAAGAUUUGGAUAAAUAACAGGAGUUACUUUGGGCUAUAGCUACGUGCAGAUUUAUUUCCUUGUGGCUUCCUAUGUUAAUUCUUAUUAAUUAUACACUUAAAUAUGUUUUUAGUCUCAGGAAGAUUUUAUAUUUGAUUAUUUUUGAAUAAACAUUAUUAUUAUUAUUACCUUAAUUUCCAUUAAAUAAAUUAACUGUAAUCAAUAAAGUAAUCGUUUAAUUGUUAAUAAAUUAUCAAGUAUGA